AAUUCCCGCAGCGGCACCGUAGGACUUUGUCAGCAGUUUCUAAGCAAUUGGCCGGUUCUUUUACUCCAAUUUGACCAUGGGAGUGUUUAAAAUUGAAUUCCGAGCAAAUGAAAAAAAUUUUACCUCUUUUGGCAGUCGGAAAGGGCUCCGGUGCGGCGGCGGGUGGCGGCAGCUCUCAUUCGCAGCAGCUAGGUCUUCUUCUCCGGCGAGGGCAUUCGACAGC
rnacentral:lncRNA from 1 species